rnacentral:rRNA from 1 species
ACACAUGCAGUCGAGCGGGGAAGAGUAGCUUGCUACUUUACCUAGCGGCGGACGGGUGAGUAAUGCUUAGGAAUCUGCCUAUUAGUGGGGGACAACAUCUCGAAAGGGAUGCUAAUACCGCAUACGUCCUACGGGAGAAAGCAGGGGACCUUCGGGCCUUGCGCUAAUAGAUGAGCCUAAGUCGGAUUAGCUAGUUGGUGGGGUAAAGGCCUACCAAGGCGACGAUCUGUAGCGGGUCUGAGAGGAUGAUCCGCCACACUGGGACUGAGACACGGCCCAGACUCCUACGGGAGGCAGCAGUGGGGAAUAUUGGACAAUGGGGGGAACCCUGAUCCAGCCAUGCCGCGUGUGUGAAGAAGGCCUUUUGGUUGUAAAGCACUUUAAGCGAGGAGGAGGCUACCGAGAUUAAUACUCUUGGAUAGUGGACGUUACUCGCAGAAUAAGCACCGGCUAACUCUGUGCCAGCAGCCGCGGUAAUACAGAGGGUGCAAGCGUUAAUCGGAUUUACUGGGCGUAAAGCGCGCGUAGGUGGCCAAUUAAGUCAAAUGUGAAAUCCCCGAGCUUAACUUGGGAAUUGCAUUCGAUACUGGUUGGCUAGAGUAUGGGAGAGGAUGGUAGAAUUCCAGGUGUAGCGGUGAAAUGCGUAGAGAUCUGGAGGAAUACCGAUGGCGAAGGCAGCCAUCUGGCCUAAUACUGACACUGAGGUGCGAAAGCAUGGGGAGCAAACAGGAUUAGAUACCCUGGUAGUCCAUGCCGUAAACGAUGUCUACUAGCCGUGGGGCCUUUGAGGCUUUAGUGGCGCAGCUAACGCGAUAGUAGACCGCCUGGGGAGUACGGUCGGCAGACUAAAACUCAAAUGAAUUGACGGGGGCCCGCACCAGCG